UCCCGCAGGAGUUCGGCUCGGACUCCCCGCAGGAGUUCGGUUCGGACUCCCGCGCACCAACAAGAGUUUUACAGCAGCCGGCGAGACGCGCGUCUGAGCCAGAAACACAAAACGAGCAGCAGAAAGAGACCAGAACAGAGCAGUGCGUGCAGGUGUCCUUACCGUAAUAAAGGUAACCAUAGCAUCGGCGGGGUAGUAUCCAACAGAGUCGACAUGAAGAUUCCCAGCUGUCAGGGGGAUGUGAACCGGUGACCGUCUCUCUACAGGCCCCAGCAUGAUGGAUGAUGCCUUGGUUUGCUGCUCUGCACCCGCAGGACCGUAUACGGGAAUGCCAGAGCUGACAGUGUUCCUGCUCACCCAAGAAGCUUUCUGGAAGAAAUACACCAGUUACACUUACAGGAAGGGCUGUGUGAGGUGUUCUUCUCCUCUCUCCUCCUCUCCUCUCAGGCAUGGAGGAAGCAGUUUUCCUGGGCAGCACAGACACGCAGCAUGAAUGCUUUCCACCGCCCUGCUCCGCAUCCAGAGACAUGUCUGACAUACAGGACAGGGAGUCACAACACCAGAGUCACUUCCUCCAUCUUCGGCCAUGCAGGGAGAACUCUCAUCAAGAGGUGACUCUCCUCACCUUCUGGAGUGAGCGAGAGAGAGAGAGAGGGACAAGCGAGAGAGAGAAAG